UUUUACAAUGGAGAGUUUGAUCCUGGCUCAGGAUGAACGCUAGCUACAGGCUUAACACAUGCAAGUCGAGGGGAAACGAUAGAGAAAGCUUGCUUUUUCUAGGCGUCGACCGGCGCACGGGUGAGUAACGCGUAUCCAACCUGCCCACCACUUGGGAA
rnacentral:rRNA from 1 species